AUGCAGGGAGAGGAAACUACAGAUGAACUGCUUGCAAGGCUCACCCUGCAGGAAGAGGAGGAGGAUGACUUCAUAUGGGAGGAAGAAUUGCCGGACAUGGCGGAACCGGCGAAGUGGCUCGCGAUCGCAAGGGUACAUACACCAAAAACCUUCAGCCCCAAUGCUUUGUAUGGGGAUAUGAGGGCAGCAUGGAACCCGGCUCGCCCGGUGGUGUGGAGGAAAAUCCGUGAUAAUCUCUUCACGUCACAGUUUGGUUGUCUGGGAGACUGG
rnacentral:rRNA from 1 species